rnacentral:lncRNA from 1 species
AUCAGAGGCACCGAGGUCGGCCAGAAUGUGCUUGAGAAGAGCCAGCAGAGACUCACCUGGCCCAGUGAAGAACACGCAAUAAAUAUAAUUAAAGAAGCAUAUAAGAGAAGAUAGAAUUUUUAUUGCACAUUAACAAAAGAAGUCAAAGAAUCCACCUUUUGAAGAUUUAAAAAUAAACCAAAAUUGCUUAUAGGCUGAGACA